rnacentral:rRNA from 1 species
GAUGAACGCUGGCGGCGUGCCUAAUACAUGCAAGUCGAGCGAAGCGGGGACGGGUGAGUAAAACGUGGAUAACAUCCUAUAAGAAUGGGAUAACUUCGGGAAACCGGAACUAAACCGGAUACUUAUAGAUGGAUCCGUGCUGCAUUAGCUGGUUGGUAAGGUAACGGCUUACCAAGGCAACGAUGCAUAGCCGACCUGAGAGGGUGAACCGCCAAAACGGAACUGCACCACGGGCCAAGCUCCUACCGGAGGCAGCAGUAGGGAAACUUCCGAAAUGGGGGAAAGCCUUGAGGAGCAACUCCGCGUGAUAGAAGAAGGUCUUCGGAUCGUAAAACUCUGUUAUUAGGGAAGCGGUACCUAGUCAGAGAGCCACGGCUAACUACCGGCCAGGAGCCGCGGUAAUAC